rnacentral:rRNA from 1 species
CGGGUGGCGGACGGGUGAGUAAUGUCUGGGAAACUGCCUGAUGGAGGGGGAUAACUACUGGAAACGGUAGCUAAUACCGCAUAACGUCGCAAGACCAAAGAGGGGGACCUUCGGGCCUCUUGCCAUCGGAUGUGCCCAGAUGGGAUUAGCUAGUAGGUGGGGUAACGGCUCACCUAGGCGACGAUCCCUAGCUGGUCUGAGAGGAUGACCAGCCACACUGGAACUGAGACACGGUCCAG